rnacentral:rRNA from 1 species
CGGAGCUUAACUCCGGAACUGCCAAUGAUACUGCAAGUCUAGAGAUCGGGAGAGGUUGAUGGAAUAUCUGGUGUAGCAGUGAAAUGCGUAGAUAUCAGAUAGAACACCAAUGGCGAAGGCAGUCAACUGGCCCGAUUCUGACGCUAAAGCACGAAAGUGUGGGUAGCAAACAGGAUUAGAUACCCUGGUAGUCCACACCCUAAACGAUGAGUACUAGACGUUGAGCCUUUUAAGGUCCAGUGUCUGAGCUAACGCAUUAAGUACUCCACCUGGGAAGUACGAUCGCAAGGUUGAAACUCAAAGGAAUUGGACGGGGGGCCCCGCACAAGCAGUGGGAGCAUGUUGUUUAAAUUCGAUGCAACAAAAAACUAACCUUUAUCUAGUGCUUGAAACGCAAGUUAUACCUGAUGAUAAGUCGGGCUGCCGGCGAGGACGUACUUGUACUGGUGCUGCAUGGCCUGUCGUCAGCUCGUGCCGUGAAGUGUUGGGAUUAAGUCCCAGCAACGAGCAACAACCUCCUUUUCUUUAGCUGCCACUAGGGAAUGGCUGGAGCACUCUGAAGGAGACCUGCCUACGCAAGUAGCUGAAUGAAGUGAAAAACGACGUUCACGUCGGCAUGGUCCGUGCUCGUAAGGCAACCUCGUGCUACGAGUGCCCACUACAGAGGGGUCUGCCUAUAGCCGCGGUGGAGAGACCCCACUCCAUAAAAAGGGUGCCUCCGAGUCGGGAGAGUGAGUCUGACACCUCCAA